AAUCUAUUAAAUAUUUAUUAUUUUAUGAUUUUGAAAUGCAAUAUUUUAUUAAGUACUUUAAUUUUUUACACAUUAAUUAAUUUAAAAUUAUUAUCAUAAAUUACUUUUCAAUUAUUAUACAAGGGAUCAAACUUUUAAUUUUUAGUUAAGUACACAAAAAUUAUAAUAAUAAUAAUUAAUCUAAUACUAAAAAAAUUAAAAAUACAUAUCAAAACAAAAUAUCAUUAAUUUUUUCUCACCAUAAUGCCAUCUGAUCUUUCUCCUAGCUAUUUUUUCCUCUCCCUCCAGCUGGCCCCUGACCGGACCCACCGGCAUUCGAUCCCAGAUUCCUUCCAAUAGAGACUCCGUUUCCAGGGAAUCAGUCCUUUCCGAACCACCAACUCAAUCUCUUCCAAGCAGGGGCUGACCCGCGCUGCAUCUCCAGAGCCAAGACACCGAACGAGGGGGGAGUGGGGGCUCGCGCUCAUAAAAGAAGCCCGCACCACCAAGCUACAGCCGCUCCUGUUGACCAGAAGAGUCUACUUUUCAGUCGAGUCGCUUGAGCCCUCACUCAGCAGAAGAUGUAAGAUGGAGAGGCUAACUUCACCAAUCAGUUCAAUCCCAUUAAAAUU
rnacentral:lncRNA from 1 species